GACAUUUGGUAGAGACUGUUGAAGCCACCUGGUCCCAGCAGAUCCCAGAAGGUGGCCACAUUCGCUGGUGCUGGGGCAAGAUCCUUAAGAGUGAAUGAAGCCUGGUGUCAGAUGUGU
rnacentral:rRNA from 1 species